CACAGAAUGAAGGGGACAGAUUAAAGCCAAGUGGUUGGAACAUAAACAACGAAACAGAGAAAUAGUUUGGUGAAAAGAAAUGUCAUUUCAAAGGGAAAUUCCACUGAGAGCUAACAUCUAAUUUUCAAGGUGUCCCCUGGGAUAAAUCAGAAGGGUUAGCACUGAAAGUGAAGGCGUAGAAUAUGAAAGAAAGAGAAGACAAGCAUCCAUUAAUGGCUCAAACUAAACUGAUGGUAGAACAUCCUCACAAUUUCUUCUGCAGAGCCACUGAUCAACGCGAACACCCCCCACAUCUGCACAGAGAUAUGAUCCUGCUUCUUAUUAAGUAGGAGGGGAGAUGUGUAUAUAGCUGGCUUCCUCUUCCACGGUUAUCCCUUUUGGUCCUCCACC